rnacentral:rRNA from 1 species
UCCGCCAAGGAGUGUGUAACAACUCACCUGCCGAAUGAAUUAGCCCUGAAAAUGGAUGGCGCUUAAGCGGGCGACCGACACCAUGCCGUCUGUGUAAGAAAUCAGAUGAGUAGGAGGACGUGGCGGCCGUGUCGAAGCAUGCGUGCAGACGCGUGUGGAACAGCCGCUAGUGCAGAUCUUGGUGGUAGUAGCAAAUAUUCAAGCGAGAUCCUUGAAGGGCGAAGCGGGGAAGGGUUCCACGCGAACAUUGAUUGGGCGUGGGUGAGUCGUUCCUAAGCCGAGUGGCAAUUGCUAAGUAGCGGCGAAAGGGAAGCAGGUUGACAUUCCUGCACACGGAUGUGGAGGCGGUGACGCUUUAAUGAGGGCGAACACGCUGGCGAUGGCGCUGGGCAGAGUUUUCUUUUCUGUUUGACCGCUGAAGCACGCGGUGUGGAAUCCGCUUGUCGGGAGAAACACGCGUGUUCGGGCAGAGCGCCGGGGCUAUUCCGGCGUCCAGCUCGCCAUCGACGGCCCUUGAAACUUUGCCUGCUGGAAUUUUUUAUUAAGAUCCACGCCGUGGCGUACCGAUCACCGCAUCAGGUCCCCAAGGUGAACAGCCUCUGCUCGAUAUGAACAAUGCAGGUAAGGGAAGUCGGCAAAUUGGACCCGUAACUUUGGGAAAAGGGUUGGCUCUAGUGCUGCGUGGGAGUGGUUGUCGGGUGUUGGCGUUUUCGGACUUGCUGAGCGAGCGCGAUGGGCACUUCGGUGUUCUGUUGUGUUUAAUUGGCGAGUCUGGAUUCGCCACGCUCGACGACGCCCACAGCAUGCAGCAGACUAGAACUGCAACGGGCAAAGGGAAUCCGACUGUUUAAUUAAAACAAAGCAUUGCGAGGGCCGUGGCCGGUGAUGACGCAAUGUGAUU